rnacentral:rRNA from 1 species
GACGAACGCUGGCGGCGUGCUUAACACAUGCAAGUCGAACGGUGAAGCGCCUUCCUUUUUGGUGGGUGUGGAUGAGUGGCGAACGGGUGAGUAACACGUGAGUAACCUGCCACCUUCUUCUGGAUAACCGCAUGCAAGUGUGGCUACUACGGGAUAUUCUGGGUCUGUCGGAUGAUGGGUCUGGGAAAGAUAUUGUUUCGGUGGGGGAUGGGCUCGCGGCCUAUCAGCUUGUUGGUGAGGUGAUGGCCUACCAAGGCGGUGAUGGGUAGCCGGCCUGGGAGAGUGGACGGUCUGACUGGGACUGACGCACGACCCAGACACGGGCGGCAGGCAGAGGUAGGGAAUAGUGAAGAGCGGAAGCAAGCCGGAUGCAGCCACGCCGAGUGAUGAAUGUAGGCCUUCGGGUUGACAACGUCUUUCGCGAGUGAAGCAGGUCUGAGUAGUUUGUGGGUUGGUGGACGGUAGCUGGAUAAGAAGCGCGGGCUAACUACGU